UAGGGAAUCUUCCACAAUGGACGAAAGUCUGAUGGAGCAACGCCGCGUGAGUGAUGAAGGGUUUCGGCUCGUAAAACUCUGUUGUUGGAGAAGAACGGGUGUCAGAGUAACUGUUGACAUCGUGACGGUAUCCAACCAGAAAGCCACGGCUAACUACGUGCCAGCAGCCGCGGUAAUACGUAGGUGGCAAGCGUUGUCCGGAUUUAUUGGGCGUAAAGCGAGCGCGGGCGGUUUUUUAGGUCUGAUGUGAAAGCCUUCGGCUUAACCGGAGAAGUGCAUCGGAAACCGGGAGACUUGAGUGCAGAAGAGGACAGUGGAACUCCAUGUGUAGCGGUGAAAUGCGUAGAUAUAUGGAAGAACACCAGUGGCGAAGGCGGCUGUCUGGUCUGCAACUGACGCUGAGGCUCGAAAGCAUGGGUAGCGAACAGGAUUAGAUACCCUGGUAGUCCAUGCCGUAAACGAUGAGUGCUAAGUGUUGGAGGGUUUCCGCCCUUCAGUGCUGCAGCUAACGCAUUAAGCACUCCGCCUGGGGGAGUACGACCGCAAGGUUGAA
rnacentral:rRNA from 1 species